rnacentral:misc_RNA from 1 species
UCCCCGUUAUCCGGGGCGGUUUCACUAGAGUGCCCAGCUUGACCUGAUGGCAACUAGGGAUAAGGGUUGCGCUCGUUGCGGGACUUAACCCAACAUCUCACGACACGAGCUGACGACAGCCAUGCAGCACCUGUGCAAGCUCCCCUUGCGGGGUCGUCCCACUUUCAUGGUUCUACAACUUGCAUGUCAAGGCCAGGUAAGGUUCUUCGCGUUGCAUCGAAUUGAGCCACAUACUCCACCGCUUGUGCAGGCCCCCGUCAAUUUCUUUGAGUUUUAAUCUUGCGACCGUACUCCCCAGGCGGCACGUUUAUCGCGUUAGCUACGCCACGAAAGGGGUCGAUUCCUCUCACAGCAAACGUGCACCGUUUACAGCUAGGACUAC